rnacentral:lncRNA from 1 species
AAUAUAAAAGAUAUGAAAUACAGCAUACGAAAUAUGAAAUAGAUGGCUGGUAUAGUAAAACUAGCAGUUAAAGCCCUGCAUCAAUAGACGACCAAUGACAUUCUUAGUCUAACUCCUAACCGACUAGUCUCACUCUAUUGUGAUGUAGAAAUAUUCACUAGUUUCCCCUAACCUACAACUUUAAUGCUCGACCUCCAUAAUUCCAUGUCAAGGGCCAUGUCCUCAGUAAUCCUAAGUCGCGCCAUGUCCUGUCUGAUCACCUAUAAACUAAAAAAAAUGAAUAAUUCGAAUUGAAAUCUAAAGUCUAUUAGUAACAUUCACUAUAUUUGGACUGUGUAAAUAUUAAUACAUUUAUAUUUGAAGCGGUAUGGCACCAGAACCUCGAAAUCCUCGAUCUUGGUUGUGAGAGGGAGAGUUCCAUUUUUUGGUUACUACUUAUAUUACUGUGAAUGCACAGUUUCAACUAAGUACAUUUGAAAGACCGGUAUUUACAACGUUGUUUGUUGUUUCCGCACACACGUUUUGAAACCGACAACACCUCAGCAAUUCGCCUCCUAAAUCUUAUAUGAAAACACAUCUCAUUUCUUUGAUUUCGAAUGUUGCCAAUAAACCCUAGUUCCAUUUUCACUCCGACAAGGUUUACCUGUUCCGCAUUCCCAUUUCAUCCUA